AUUCCAGCUCCAAUAGCGUAUAUUUAAGUUGUUGCAGUUAAAAAGCUCGUAGUUGGAUCUUGGGUCGUAAGGGUCGGUCCGCCUACUCGGUGUGCACCUGCCCUUCCAUCCCUUUUGUCGGCGGCGUGCUCCUGGCCUUAAUUGGCUGGGUCGCGGUUCCGGCGCUGUUACUUUGAAAAAAUUAGAGUGCUCAAAGCAAGCUUAUGCUCUGAAUACAUUAGCAUGGAAUAACGUGAUAGGAGUCUGGUCCUAUUGUGUUGGCCUUCGGGACCGGAGUAAUGAUUAAUAGGGACUGUCGGGGGCAUUCGUAUUUCAUUGUCAGAGGUGAAAUUCUUGGAUUUAUGAAAGACGGACCACUGCGAAAGCAUUUGCCAAGGAUGGUUUCAUUA
rnacentral:rRNA from 1 species